GUCAAAACCACUCGAUCUCGAACCUUCCCGUCUACCUAUAAAAACAACCUCAUUAUUCUUCUAAUUCGUGCAAAACAUCUCAAAUUCUCUACAAACUAAAAGAGAUGGAGAAAACAUUCGAGGCAUCUGAGUGUAGUGAUUAAGAGGAAGAUGAUGAUGCGAUUGAAAAGUAUGAUAAUAAGGAUAACUCACACUCAUCGAAUCAUCGAUUUACCAUAAAUCCAGCUUAGAGCUUCGAACCCUGCUUUCGUAUCUUUGCUUCAUGGGAUUGGGGGCAAGCUCAUCUAGAAUCUUAUCGAGAUUCAGAGUGUCAUCAUUCCCAGAGUAGGGAUCAUUCCGCCAUGUUUUCUUGGCAUAGUGAUCCUACAUCCACAUUUUUGGAGUUUUCAUGCAGUGGAGAUGUGGCAAGAGUAGUGUCGAUACCUGGUUAGAUCCGUCCAAUUAAAAACUCAUCAAGACAGUGAAUAACUCACGAUAUGUAUAUUAAUUAUUUUGAUAAAAUAGUUGUAUUGUUAAAGGAAAAACACAUUAUGUGUCUUCAUCAAACCAACUGACGAAAAUGGAAUCAAGGAAUUGCAAUUACAGCUCAAUCAGCAUUUAGUAUCAUUAUUGUAAUUGAUAUUUCCGUUGUAAUUCAAUCUCUAUAUAAAGAGACUAUGAAAUGAAAUGAGUAGACAAAUUCUCAUUUA